CUGGGGACCGGGAGCCGCGCUCGGGGUGAGCGGGCCGUCGCGUUCAUUUCCAUAAGAAAGCUGAAAUCGCGGUUGGAGGGAGGACUCCUCGCCCCUGCUGCCCUCCCCCUACACCCGGCUUUCAGCAGGAGCGGGCUCGGGAGCGCAGAGCCCUAACGUGCGCUCCGCUCUUUGAUGGUAUUGAUAAAACGUGGCUUCAAGUGUCGCCCCGACUGAGGCCGCUUUCCUGCCUGUGAGGAGUGGAAGCUCCGCGCGGGUGAGUCCAGAGCGCGGGGGAGCGGGCGGCGGCGCAGGGGCAGGCGAGAGGAGGGCAGGGCACCCUGGCCAAGGAAGUUCUCCGGGAGGGUUCCGAAAAGGGGAGCCAGGCUGAACCGAAGACCCCAGCACAGAAGAGUGUGGGGAGGGGGGCGGUGAUCAGCGAAGAGAGGUCGCAGAGCCCCUUGAGCCCAGGCGGCCGGCCGGUGGGGAAGUCUGGCCGGCCUCGCCGCCGUGGCCCUCCGCAAAGACCCGGGGAAACGUUCUCUCGCCGCCGCUGACCCUCUUCCUGCGAAGAAAUAAAGUGAACUUGCUCAGAUGCUCGAUGCCGCUAGCGGUUCAGUUCUUUCUACUUUCGCAUUGAGUUUCUUUUCGGCUUUUAGUGUGAACAGCAGCCAUGUGUCCUCAGUUCUGUAGUAUAUUAAAAACAAUCUCCUAGGUACUUUAUGAUCCCAUCUGGAGAAAUUAAAACCCAGAUCUGUAAUGUUUAUUCUUAGAUAGUUUACAAAAACCGGAAAAAAAUGUGUGAGACAUGUCUGCAAAUAUAACAAAAGUACUUUUCCUUCUGCUUGAAAAAGUUGCCUGCAAAUGGCUCCCCUUUACUGAUUCUGGACCACCUGUACUUGCCCGUGAAACCAAACCAGGUCGUGAAUACAGCACCAAUCAGAUCAAGCAAUCAAAUACCAAUUAUGCCUAUUAAUGACUUUAUUACUAAUGAUUGGAGUUAAGGACGCCAAACCUGCUCAAGAGUUAAUUGCCCUGCAGCGAGGCCAUCUGACACCUCAGCCAAGGAAUACAGCAGAGAAGGAAUCCUCCACAGGGGGACCACAUCACCUGGGUCUGAGAGGACUGCUUCCUCAGGAAACCUUUCCUGGGAAUCUGGUGAGAGUUGGAGGCAAGUUUCCUGCACUUAGAACUUGUUCGGAAAUUGACAUCUAAAGAGGAGAGAAGCACUUUGUCACCCAGACUGGGCCCCUACGGCAUCAGAAAACCUUUCCACUCUUGGUGAACCCCUGAGACUGCCCCCCCACCCAAGAGGCCCCUUCACAUUGUUCGAUGUCAGUGUCCUGCUUGCUUUCCUUGGAAAGGUCAUGGGGACUCAGACACCCGCCAACCCCACGGGCUCCGGCUUCUCCAGCGCUCUCCCUUUCGCCCAGCAGGGAGGCUUGUGGAGCGCUUCUGGGUCUGCAUUGCCAGACCAGACUGCAGCCCAUGACCUUCCCGGGGCCAACCAAGGGCGAGGUAUGUUGCCCAACAAGACCACAGCCUCACCGGGCCGCCCAGGAACAACCACCGACAAAGGCUCUGCGGGCCCUGGCGCAGCCACCCACCCAUGCCCGCGGGGCCUGCAGGAGUGCUGGGGCCGAGGCUGCAAAGCUGGGUAGCCAGCCCCACACCAUUGACAGCCCAGGCACGUUUGCGGAACCCAGGGGAACAAUCAACGGACUCUAUGUCCCGGGAGCUGGGGAUACGCCUGUAAGGUGUGUGAUCCUUUAAAGAUCCUUGGUACUACUUUUGCAAGAAUCCUUUGUUACAGUUUCGUCAGCCUGCGCGCCUUCAGCAGCUCCCCCUCCCGGCCCCUCCACUCCCCCCCUCAUUUCCUCCUCCCGGUUCCCCCUUCAGAGAAGGCCUGGCUCAGGGGAUCUGCCCGGAUCAACUGUCCUGCUCCAGAUCCUCUCCUACAAAAUGCUCGUCCCUGGGUUACAUCUCCCCUUCGUGCUUGGGGCAAAUGAACACGGUUUGCAAUGCUUUUGCCUUUGGGGUGAGGCUGCCUGGAAGAACAGGCUUUCUGGAUGUGACCUUGGGCUGCUGCAGGGGCAGAGUCCUGCUGCUGGUGAAUGAGUAGCUCUCCUGCCACUGGCAGCGGUGACUGGGUGGGCACAGCAGGGUGC
ensembl:lncRNA